rnacentral:misc_RNA from 1 species
UAGAAUGAAAGAGGGGAAAAAAUUAAAUAAAAGACAGAAAAUAAAAAUAAAUAUUUUUUUCUUAAAGGUACUAUAUAGAAAGAAAGAAAGAAAGAAAGGGUUUGAAUUAAUUAACAGUUCCCAAAGUCCCUAAAAGAGAAAGCAGAACCCUUCUCUGGCAUGUUCCCGGCAUGGCGUAGCCCUAGAGUGAGCGACACAUCCCCAGCGGCGGCAGUGGUCCCAAACCUUAUAAGAGUAGACCCAAUGUCAGUUCCAGCAUUGGCAUGCUGAACAGAGGUGGUCCCAUGCUCAGCUGCAGCAACCAUGCUGCUGCCACGGCGACACGUUUCAUCCGUCAAGUCAUGGAAAGGCUUGGCAUGGGGUGGUGGUGCCCCUACCUCUGUGGUGGGAGUAAUAAUGGUGGUGGAGGUGGAAGAAGGGGAGUGUUUUGCUUGGUUUUCCGAGAAGCAUUGUCUGUUGAUUGCAAGAAUUGAUGGGUCGUUUUCAUUGGCAUUUUCGGAUCUUUUGCCUGCUGCUGCUGAUGGAGGUGCUGGUGGUGGUGUUGCGGUGGUGGAGGGAGGUGCUGAUGAGGACUCUGUCGGUGUUGGUGUCUGUGCAAGUGCAACCCCACUUUUGUUAUUAUUGUUGUUGUUGUUUUGCUUUCUUUCUCUAUCUUCUUCUCCUCCUUCCUCUUCUUUUGCCUCUUGUUGAU